rnacentral:rRNA from 1 species
UACGGGGGGAGCAAGCGUUGUUCGGAUUUACUGGGCGUAAAGGGCGCGUAGGCGGCCUCCGCAAGUCGACUGUGAAAUCUCCGGGCUUAACCCGGAAAGGUCAGCCGAUACUGCGGGGCUAGAGUGCAGAAGGGGCAACUGGAAUUCUCGGUGUAGCGGUGAAAUGCGUAGAUAUCGAGAGGAACACCUGCGGCGAAGGCGGGUUGCUGGGCUGACACUGACGCUGAAGCGCGAAAGCUAGGGGAGCGAACGGG